rnacentral:lncRNA from 1 species
CUCCGAAAGGCUUUUUUGUAUUAGAGUUCCCAGGUCAACAAAUGUCUUCGUAUACCAAAUGGAUACAAAUGGAGAAGAAUGACUGGCAAUGAGUCUUUUCUUUUAUGAUACUGAAUGAGAGAUCAUUAUACUUCUGUGAUGCUGAUCACGUUUUAUUUCUAAUUAGCUGAAAAAUUUGGUGCAUGUGUCUUUACAUCUUGGUGCAAAAACCAAACACUAAGAAAUCUAUGAGAAAUGGUAUAUCAAGCAAAUACAUUUGCUGGAGAUUCUUGGAGGGACAGAAGAGAAUCCUGUUAUUCAGCUCUGAAGGAUGGAAAGUGGAAUAGACUUAGCAGUCAGACUCUGCAUAAAAUCUUUCUGUUCAGUGCAGGAAAUGAAGCAGGGGUGUUCCUUCUUGCUGCAGCUGGCUUUAACUCAGGGCACUCCUGCUGGAGGCCAGAGCAUAGCUGUGGACCUGUGGCUUCUCUUUCUGUGAGCUCUGACAGAGCUUUAUUAUGUGACGUGGCAAGGUCAGGAUCCUUAAGACUAGGCUUUUCCCUCUGGUGGAGAGGUAUAAAGGGACCCUGUGCAAAUGCCCAUCUGGCUUGGGCAUUUGAAGGAGUCUGGUGCUACGUGAGUGUCAACCAGCAACACCAACUUGAGCUAAUCAGUGAAAGUGCAUGUGGCAUUUCUACACUUCACUGA